rnacentral:rRNA from 1 species
AACGCUAGCUACAGGCUUAACACAUGCAAGUCGAGGGGCAGCAUGAACUUAGCUUGCUAAGUUUGAUGGCGACCGGCGCACGGGUGAGUAACGCGUAUCCAACCUUCCGUACACUCAGGGAUAGCCUUUCGAAAGAAAGAUUAAUACCUGAUGGUAUGAUGAGAUUGCAUGGUAACAUCAUUAAAGAUUCAUCGGUGUACGAUGGGGAUGCGUUCCAUUAGAUAGUAGGCGGGGUAACGGCCCGCCUAGUCGACGAUAGAUAGGGGUUCUGAGAGGAAGGUCCCCCACAUUGGAACUGAGACACGGUCCAAACUCCUACGGGAGGCAGCAGUGAGGAAUAUUGGUCAAUGGGCGCGAGCCUGAACCAGCCAAGUAGCGUGAAGGAUGAAGGUCCUACGGAUUGUAAACUUCUUUUAUAAGGGAAUAAAGUCACCCACGUGUGGGUGUUUGUAUGUACCUUAUGAAUAAGCAUCGGCUAACUCCGUGCCAGCAGCCGCGGUAAUACGGGGGAUGCGAGCGUUAUCCGGAUUUAUUGGGUUUAAAGGGAGCGUAGACGGGUCGUUAAGUCAGCUGUGAAAGUUUGGGGCUCAACCUUAAAAUUGCAGUUGAUACUGGCGUCCUUGAGUACGGUUGAGGCAGGCGGAAUUCGUGGUGUAGCGGUGAAAUGCUUAGAUAUCACGAAGAACUCCGAUUG